rnacentral:rRNA from 1 species
AGCCUUAAGAAUCAUUUAAGGUAACGCCUGCCCAGUGCUAAUAUGUAAACGGCCGCAGUACCUUGACUGUGCUAAGGUAGCAUAAUCAGUUGGCUUUUAAAUGGAGUCGGGAAUGAAUGGAUUUAUAGGGUGAAGCUGUCUCUUUUAUAUUGUAUUGAACUUUCUUAGUAGGUGAAAAUGCCUACACUUAGAAAAAAGACGAGAAGACCCCAGGAGUUUUAACUAAGGGCUAAGUAUAUGGUUAGCCGACCGUUUUUGUUGGGGCGACAUAGGAGUAAAUAUUAAAUACAACCUCCUUUUCUAAUAUGCCGACAUAGUAUGAACAGCAAAACUACCCUGGGGAUAACAGCGUAAUUCUUUAAGAGCUUGCGACCUCGAUGUUGGACUAGGAAUUUGGUGGGCUAGCCGCCUACUUUUAUUGUUCUGUUCGAACUAUCUUUCCUACAU